CUAAGCAGAGACAAGGAGGAACAAUUUCAAGAAAUUCAAGUAGAAUUCAAGUAGCUACUCUUCAUUAUACUGAACAGUUGAUGGCUCCCACACCUACUUUGAGACUAAGGGCAGCUCUACAGGCCAAUGCUCCCAGCCAACCACUCACUUUGAAGCCUAGUAUCUGGAUCCUGAUAAUAUUUUAUAUGUAGAGAAGAAACAAACUCACUUUGACUCUGCUAAAAGAUAAUUCUGGCCAUGUGACUGAGUUUUGCCAAUGCGGUCUGGUGAGCUGUAAGCAGGAGUGAUGUGCAGAAUUUCUUGGAAGGCUUCUCGAAGGACUCCGAAGCAGAGGAGGACUCAGCUGGUUCUCACUGGCAUGGGCUAUCCGAGUUGCUAUGGAUCUGGCAUUUUCCCCAGGCAUACCCGGAGCCUACCACGGGGUCUGGGACAUUGCAGGCACUCAAUAUAUUUGUACAAUAAAUGAAAG